rnacentral:rRNA from 1 species
UACGGAGGGGGCUAGCGUUGUUCGGAAUUACUGGGCGUAAAGCGCACGUAGGCGGAUUGGCACGUUGGGGGUGAAAUCCCGGGGCUCAACCCCGGAACUGCCUUCAAAACUCCCAGUCUGGAGGUCGAGAGAGGUGAGUGGAAUUCCGAGUGUAGAGGUGAAAUUCGUAGAUAUUCGGAGGAACACCAGUGGCGAAGGCGGCUCACUGGCUCGAUACUGACGCUGAGGUGCGAAAGCGUGGGGAGCAAACAGG